rnacentral:rRNA from 1 species
UACGUAGGCAGCGAGCGUUGUUCGGAAUUACUGGGCGUAAAGAGUGUGUAGGCGGUGCUCCCAGUCUGUUGUGAAAUCUCCCGGCUUAACUGGGAGGGUGCAGCGGAAACUAGAGUGCUAGAGGGUGGGAGAGGUAAGCGGAAUUCCUGGUGUAGCGGUGAAAUGCGUAGAUAUCAGGGGGAACACCUGUGGUGUAGACAGCUUACUGGACCACUUCUGACGCUGAGACACGAAAGCGUGGGUAGCAAACAGG